GAUGAACGCUGGCGGCGUGCCUAAUACAUGCAAGUCGAACGAGUUCUCGUUGAUGAUCGGUGCUUGCACCGAGAUUCAACAUGGAACGAGUGGCGGACGGGUGAGUAACACGUGGGUAACCUGCCCUUAAGUGGGGGAUAACAUUUGGAAACAGGUGCUAAUACCGCAUAGAUCCAAGAACCGCAUGGUUCUUGGCUGAAAGAUGGCGUAAGCUAUCGCUUUUGGAUGGACCCGCGGCGUAUUAGCUAGUUGGUGAGGUAAUGGCUCACCAAGGCGAUGAUACGUAGCCGAACUGAGAGGUUGAUCGGCCACAUUGGGACUGAGACACGGCCCAAACUCCUACGGGAGGCAGCAGUAGGGAAUCUUCCACAAUGGACGCAAGUCUGAUGGAGCAACGCCGCGUGAGUGAAGAAGGCUUUCGGGUCGUAAAACUCUGUUGUUGGAGAAGAAUGGUCGGCAGAGUAACUGUUGUCGGCGUGACGGUAUCCAACCAGAAAGCCACGGCUAACUACGUGCCAGCAGCCGCGGUAAUACGUAGGUGGCAAGCGUUAUCCGGAUUUAUUGGGCGUAAAGCGAGCGCAGGCGGUUUUUUAAGUCUGAUGUGAAAGCCCUCGGCUUAACCGAGGAAGCGCAUCGGAAACUGGGAAACUUGAGUGCAGAAGAGGACAGUGGAACUCCAUGUGUAGCGGUGAAAUGCGUAGAUAUAUGGAAGAACACCAGUGGCGAAGGCGGCUGUCUGGUCUGUAACUGACGCUGAGGCUCGAAAGCAUGGGUAGCGAACAGGAUUAGAUACCCUGGUAGUCCAUGCCGUAAACGAUGAAUGCUAGGUGUUGGAGGGUUUCCGCCCUUCAGUGCCGCAGCUAACGCAUUAAGCAUUCCGCCUGGGGAGUACGACCGCAAGGUUGAAACUCAAAGGAAUUGACGGGGGCCCGCACAAGCGGUGGAGCAUGUGGUUUAAUUCGAAGCAACGCGAAGAACCUUACCAGGUCUUGACAUCUUUUGAUCACCUGAGAGAUCAGGUUUCCCCUUCGGGGGCAAAAUGACAGGUGGUGCAUGGUUGUCGUCAGCUCGUGUCGUGAGAUGUUGGGUUAAGUCCCGCAACGAGCGCAACCCUUAUGACUAGUUGCCAGCAUUUAGUUGGGCACUCUAGUAAGACUGCCGGUGACAAACCGGAGGAAGGUGGGGAUGACGUCAAAUCAUCAUGCCCCUUAUGACCUGGGCUACACACGUGCUACAAUGGAUGGUACAACGAGUUGCGAGACCGCGAGGUCAAGCUAAUCUCUUAAAGCCAUUCUCAGUUCGGACUGUAGGCUGCAACUCGCCUACACGAAGUCGGAAUCGCUAGUAAUCGCGGAUCAGCACGCCGCGGUGAAUACGUUCCCGGGCCUUGUACACACCGCCCGUCACACCAUGAGAGUUUGUAACACCCGAAGCCGGUGGCGUAACCCUUUUAGGGAGCGAGCCGUCUAAGGUGGGACAAAUGAUUAGGGUG
rnacentral:rRNA from 1 species